AAUAUAUGACGUCGUUAAUUUUUUUACCAACGUUUGACCAUUCAUCUUAUUUAAAAAAAAAUUUUAUGUAAUUAUCAUUUAUUUUAUUAUGACUUGAUUUAUCAUCAAAUGUUCUUUAAGCAUGACAUAAAUAUUUUUAUAUUUGCACAAAAAUUUUAAAUAAGACGAAUGGUCAAAUGUUGGUCAAAAAAUCAACGGUGUCAUACAUU
rfam:Oryza sativa Japonica Group DNA, chromosome 1, cultivar: Nipponbare, complete sequence.